CCAUCUCUCUAACUGGAACUGGAAUUAAAACCCUAACUCUAACUCUUCUUUUACCAACAACAACAGCAACAACCACUGCAACUGGUAUGGUGUCCACUGCGACUCUACCUCCAAAAGAGUUAUUGCUAUUAACAUCACUUUCUCGCUUUCCCCUAUUUCCCUCCCUCUCCGGAACCCUUUCUCUUUGUAUUGGAAACCUACCUAAGCUUCGCACUCUCUCUCUCUUCCCCACAAUCUACUUUCCGGUCUGAUUCCAUCUCUAAUCAACAAUAUUCAGUCUUUACAAAUCCUUGUGCUCCAAGGAAAUAAUUUCUCCGGACGCAUUCCUUAUCAAAUAACAUAUCUCUCCUAUCUCCGUUUCCUUAAUUUAUCUUAUAAUACGUUCUCCGGUCUUAUUCCGGAUACCUUGAUUGGUUUCGCUAAAGUAAAUAAUCUUGAUUGCUCCAAUAAUCAGCUUUCUGGUCCAAUUGAUCUCCAUAAAUUUGAUGUUAUAUCUAAAUAUGUGUCUCUCAAUCAUUUGAAGCUCUCUAACAACUAUUUUGUCGAAGCUAUUCCUUCUGUUAUCAGCAAAUGCUCCAACUUGAGAACUCGUUUGCUUGAUGGCAACAUUUUCCAAGGUCUCAUUCCUCUCGAGUUAGGCCAAAUUCACCACCUCCAUAUUCACGACGUUUCCAGAAAUAGUAUCACCGAUAGGAUUCCUACACAACUAGCCAACUGCCGAAAGCUUUCUUUUGUCAUGUUGACCAAUUUGGCUGAUCCCCAAUCUGACCAAAAUAGCUCCUCCGCUGCCAAUGGUGGUUGUGGUGUUGGAGAAUUCAAUGCCUUUGACCGUGGUAUACCUUAUAAGGUGUUGUUGCUUUCAAACCUUCAGGUAUUGUGGACGCCAAAGGCAAAUCUCAAGGGUAGGUUGCUUGACAACUAGAGGAGAGAUAAUAGCAAUAAUACCUAUUAUUGAUCCCUGAGGGUAGUCAAUCUUAGGCAAAAUUAUUUUACUGGUGACCUACCUCAGAAUAUGGCAGUAGCAUGCAAAAAUUUCACUAGGAUUUGAGUUCAAAUGGUUUACAAGGGUACUUUCUUUGACAGCUGCAAGUUGCAUGUAUGGGGUAUUUCAGUGUCAGCAGAAAUUCGUUGUCAGGUUUUCUUCCAAGAUUUAGCAACAACACAAGUUGUGAUAUUAGCAUGAUUUCUUAUGGGAAAGAUCUUAACUUGUUAUACGAGGAAGAUGUUUAGAUAGCCUACUCUAACAUACCUAUUUGGGGUUCUUAGAUGAACACCUUCUUCGAAUCCAACUCAGAUGAUCAUUUAUCUAUGGUUGUCCAUGAUUUUAGUUGGAAUGGCUUCUCUGGUUCUUUGUCUUUCUUCUCAUUUAUGAAUAAGUUCUUACUGACCAUUGGUAAGACCUCAUAUGGAUUGUUGGUGAACAAUAAUAUGUUUAACGGGUUUAUUCUAGGAGUGCUAUUUUCAAACUGUAAUGAUUUGCAGAGCUUUUCAGCUAACUUGAGUGCUAACCAAAUAUCUGGUGCACUAGACCCUGAGUUACUCCUUGAUUGCACAUAGUUAAUCGUUUUUGAAGCAGCACAGAACUGUAUUGGUGGGUCAAUUCCUUCCAAGAUUAGCAACUUAAAGAUGCUUAAAUUUCUCAACUUAAGUAGAAACUUGUUGUCUGGAUCCUUAUUCAGUUAGGAGAGUUUAAGGAUUUGGAGUUGAUUUCUCUCCAAGACAACAAUUUGACUGGAGAAAUCCCAACUCAACUUGGUCAAUUAACUUCUCUUGGUUUUGGAUCUCUCUCAAAAUGCCCUAACUGGAUCCAUCCCUGGAAGCUUAGCCAAUGCCACAAGUCUUCAAGUUGUUUUGCUGGAUCACAACAGGCUUUCUGGGGAGAUACCUAUAUCUUUUUCAAAGCUUGUCAAUCUUAUUCAACUAGAUCUUUCUUUCAAUAACCUUUCAGGUCAUAUACCUCAUCUUCAACACGCAAAUAAUUCUGAUUGUUUUGGAAGGAAUUGAUUUUUAAGUUUGUGCCGAACUAGUACUCAGCACCACUAACUGGGCUUCCAGUACCACUUCAAGUUCAGAAGUGGCACAGUCGAAGUAAACUGAAGUCUUUUGUAAUAGUGAUGGCCAUUUCUGCAUCUUUUGUGCUUUUUGUCUUAGUAGUUAUAGUUCUUUUCCUUCUCAUUGGAAGGGGAAAGCUUAGUAGACUCACUAGCUUAAAAAAGAAAGUUGUAGUGACCUUUGCAUAUGCUCCAAUUGGACUGAAUUACGACAAUGUGGUUGGAGCAACUGGGAAUUUCAGUAUCCGUAACCUAAUUGGCACAAGAGGCUUUGGGUCAACUUACAAGACAGAAUUGGUCCCAGGCUUCCUUGUAGCUGUGAAGAGGCUCUCAAUUGGUAGAUUUCAAGGGAUUCGACAGUUUAAUGCAGAGAUAUGAACUCUAGAAAGAAAAUUCGGCAUAAGAACCUUGUGACUCUCAUUAGGUGCUACAUGGAAGAAGCUGAGAUGUUCUUGAUUUACAACUAUCUUUCUAGUGGAAAUCUUGAAACCUUCAUACAUGAAAGGUCAAACAAUAAUGUAGAAUGGUCAGUGAUCCACAAGAUAGCUAUUGACAUGGCCCAAGCUUUGCCUUUUCCUUCAUUACUCUUGUGUUUCCCGCAUAGUUCAUCAUGACAUCAAGCCUAGCAACAUCUUACUUUAUGAGGAGUUUAAUGCGUACUUGUUUGACUUUAGGUUAGCUCAGCUUCUAGAAGUUUUUGAGACCCAUGCUACCACGGUUGUAGCAAGCACAUUUGGGUAUGUGGCACCAGAAUAUGCAACCAUUUGCAGGGUUUCUGACAAGGCAGAUGUUUAUAGUUUUGGGGUUGUGCUCUUGGAACUGAUGUCAUGAAAGCAGUCGCUCAAUCCAUCAUUUUCUGAGUAUGGUAAUGGGUUCAAUAUUGUUGCAUGGGCUAAAUUGCUAAUCAAGAAGGGAUGUUCUUCUGAGCUCUUUUCCCUAGAACUGUGGGAAGCCGGGCCUAAAGAGAGUUUGUUGGGGAUUUUGAGACUUGUAUCAUCUGCACAGUGGAGUCGUUUUCUAUUUGCCCAUCAAUGAAUCAAGUCCUUGAGAAACUGAAGCAACUUAAUUCCUGAAAAACGAUCACCUUUUUCUCAACACUUAGUAUUGGACAAUAAUAAGAAGGUCAUCAUGCUUUGUCUAUGCUACUGAGGUAACGUCACUCACACACAUGGAGCUCUCAUCACUAAGCAUCAUGGUUUGGUGGUUCUUCACACGACUUAAGGUUGUAUGCUAUUUGCAUUAAAAUUUCCCAUUUUCUUUGCUUUUGAUCAAAGUGAUAAGCUACCUCAUGCACCAUUUUCCUUUUGGCAAUGUAAAACCAAUUAGUAGUUGGACAUUUUGUUGUCAUGCUGAAUUCAGUGGGGCUGUAAAUGUACUGCACUUGUUCGUCGCUGCUUAAUUUGAGUUGCCAGUUCAUGUGGUUCAGCAAUUUUGAACUGACAAUACACUGGAAACAUUGUAUAUAACAACACGUCUUAUAUUAUUCUAUUUGCAUAGCUUUCUUGGUAUAAUUUAUGAGUUGGAAGACAACACUCUCUCAACACCAUCUCUAAACCACCAGAAGCAUAAAUAUGGAUGCUGGCACAUACAGUCCCUCUCCACAAUAAAACCUUAGCUUUGAAGUUUGAGGGAUGGGAUUGUAAGAAACUAGACCUUUUUACUACUACCAACUCAAUCACCACCAUGUAUCAAUAUCAUUAACCAUCUGACAACAGGAGAGUGGGCCGCACAAUGCUUGAUACAACUAAUUAAUUUACUUCCCAAUAAAAACAAGAAAAGAAAACUAUAUUUACACGUUGCAAGUAAAAACUUAACCAAAUGCUGUUGAAUCUGUGUUAUUGAAAAGGUUUUCCCAUAAAAUGGCAACAUAAACAUUUACAUUAUUCAGGAAACCUUGGAAAGUCAAGCAGACAAAGUAAAAGAAAAAUUAAAUGAUAAAUAAAUUUAUAAAAAGAAAAACGGAUGAAAAGCUCACUCUAUACAUAUCCUAAUGGACUAGUGAAAAAGAAAACAAACCCUGGGCACGCAUCCAUGUAAGUAAAGGUAUUGUUGCAUUGCAUGUGGAGAUCUUAGGUAGAGAAUUUCAAAGCACUCUCUCAGCCAGACAUGGGAGUAGCAGCAGCAGCUUAGGUUCCAAAAAUAACAUCAAAGAGCAAUAGCACUCUGUUUAGCCUUAAGGACAAGCUCCUCAGUGGUUGUGCCAAUGAUCUCAUUAGCAUGCUUAAGACUGACACAGUAAUAUCUUCCAAUCGAAUCCUGUUUUGAAAUAUUGACUCUCAUCAAGAGAACAAAGCCACA